rnacentral:rRNA from 1 species
AUACGGUAGGGGGCAAGCGUUGUCCGGAAUUAUUGGGCGUAAAGGGUGCGUAGGCGGCCUUUCAAGUUGGAUGUGAAAUCCCCGUGCUUAACAUGGGAAUUGCAUUCAAAACUGGAGGGCUUGAGUGUGGAAGAGGUAAGUGGAAUUCCCAGUGUAGCGGUGAAAUGCGUAGAUAUUGGGAGGAACACCAGUGGCGAAGGCGACUUACUGGGCCACAACUGACGCUGAUGCACGAAAGCGUGGGGAGC